GACGAACGCUGGCGGCGUGCUUAACACAUGCAAGUCGAACGAAGUGGCGAACGGGUGAGUAACGCGUAAUCAACCUGCCCUUCAGAGGGGGACAACAGUUGGAAACGACUGCUAAUACCGCAUACUGAAGGGGGGGAUUGCGUCUGAUUGGCUCGUUGGAGGGGUAACGGCCCACCAAGGCGAUGAUCAGUAGGAGGUCUGAGAGGAUGAACGGCCACAGUGGGACUGAGACACGGCCCAGAAUCCUACGGGAGGCAGCAGUGGGGAAUCGUCCGAAAUGGACGAAAGUCUGACGGAGCAACGCCGGGUGAGGGAGUACGGCCCUCGGGGUGUAAAGCUCUGUUAAGCGGGACGCGGUACCGGAAUAGAAAGCAACGGCUAACUACGUGCCAGCAGCCGCGGUAAUAC
rnacentral:rRNA from 1 species